AGUUUUUCCCAUCUCCUUUCCAUUGAAGAUGGACUCCAAAGGAAGAACUGAUAAUAGUUAUCAGUUCUUUUAAUGAUGGUGUUUACUUGGGUCUAAUAAUUCUUUAAAAUAAAACUGUCCUGAAGAACACCUAUCAUCCGAGGGAGGGGGAAAACGAGGCUAGAUUACAUUUGGAACAGCUGUGAUUUUAAAAUACACAAACGCUUGUAUUACGGAGUUAGCAUACGGAGAGGAAUUUCUCAUAUCCCCAUCCAGCAAGUGUUUCCAGAGUAUAAUGCUCCUUCCCCUCUAGAGACCCAUAGAACAGGCAUCAAGGGUUAAGGGGACGAAAAGUUAGUUACACUAAGACCGCUAGAGUCUCCAAUUUAUAUGUGUAAAUCUUUCGUCUAAACACACAUCAUUUAUCAUACAUUAUUUUAAACUACUUAGAACGUGCCAACACUCAAGAUAGUUUUCCCACGUUCCACAGGAUGGAGGCCUGAAAUUUACAUCUCAGCUGGAAGGCAAAGCUGCUGCGGUACUCAUCCUAUUCCAACCAGAAAACCUUUCCCCAGCAGGUUUGCCGCGCUGCCCCGCGACUGGCAAACAAUGACCUUACAGACCGUGAAGAGGCCGUCGGCUCUGCCGUCGCCGAUGCGUCCGAAGACGGCGACCCGCAGAGGCCCCUCAAGGGAGUUCCCCCUGCCAGACCGACAGCCUGAGCGCUCCAGGACAGAGAAAACUCAGCAAAGGCCGCCGCUGCUACCACCUCAGCACCUCCCCCAACCCGCCCCUUCCUUCUCGCAGCCGCACGUCACGUCUGGACCCCGCAAGAGGAGCGAAGAUUUGCGUAGGGGACGAGCCUCUGAGGCCACGGCUCGCACGGCCACGCAGGGCGCCGCAGAUGCAGCCGGACCUCACUUUUCCCUGUCAGGACGACCCUAGGACGCCAGCAGUUCCCUACCGACGAAGGCGACUGUACAACGUCCGUCGCGUUCGUGCCCACUUACCCGCCGCCCCACUCCGGGCCGCCGGCUCGCAGCAGGACCAGCCCGGCUGCUACGGCCGCGGAUACACGCCCUCAGGCCGGGCGCUGCGCAGCUUGCGGAAACGUUCACAGACAGACUCGCUGCCAGCGGAUUGGCUGCGAGCAACGCCAAUCUUACGUUCACCCCGGGCGAGGCGGGACUAAGUGCCGCGCUCCCUGUACCCGCUCUGCCGCGCGCGCAUGCUGGGGGCGAGUGCGGGGUCGGGCCUGCGCUCCGGGUAAGACGCUGGCUGCCUGCCGCUGGUGGAUGGUAAUUGCCUGCCUCGCGCUAGCAGGAAGGUAGUGUGGUGUGACUAACGGGUAUUUAUUAUAUUCUCGAGGGCUUGAGGGCCUCCAUCCCCUCUACUCGUCCCGCUCCGGGCGCAAACGCUGUAGGACAGCUAAGGGCGCUCCCCGCGGGCGGGAAGCGAAGCCGGGCUUGUAGGCGCGCACACGUGGAGUGCGUUCUCUGAGCAGAUCUGGGCUCCGGGGUGUUCUGGCUUGGUCUUUGUUGCGGCCAAUUCCCAGACCCUUCUGGGUGCAGGACUUAAAAUUUGUUUUCCAGGCAGCAGAUUUAACCCAUGGCAACUGUAACUCAUCUUGUGAGGGUGGCGGUUUAUAGUAUUGUAUCCUGUGGCAUCAUACAAGGGGUGCAAGUUAAACUCUUCAAAGAUAAUCACGAUUUUUGCUCGUGGCCUUCUGGGUUUAUCCGUACGCCGAAGACAGGCACCUGUAUUACAUCCUGAGGAAAUGUGGAUACCAAAAAUUGAUCCUGAGAAAAGUCUUGAUUAGAUUUUUUGGAAUUGCCUUUGAAAUGUAAUUUCCCUCACCUUGGCAGUGCGGAAAGUUUGUGAUUUUUAUUGCCUAAAUAGCUUUCAACAUUUUGAAAUUGACUUAAGAGAAUGUUCGCUAUGUGUGUCUGUGUAUCUUGCAUUUCUGUUGGCUUUGUGAACUUGUUUUGGAUUUAGUCUGAUCUUUAAAUAAAUGAUUUCUUUGUGUUCUCUCUAGUG